rnacentral:lncRNA from 1 species
CCAACUGCCCGUGCUCUUGCUCCACCGUUGGUGGUGCCCGAGCUAGUGGCUAUGGCGACAACCUGUAUGGGAGCAUGUGAUGUAGGAACAAGGCAGCGCACAAAACAACUCGUAGCCAGGAAAAGGAUGCCCAAUUGGACUAGCAUGCAGUGGAGUGUACAUUGGAGGUGCAUGGGAAGGUACAAAAAAACUGUCUUGAGUCGGCUGCCUCCAUCGUCGGCCUUGUUGGACCCAAAGCCGAGUGGCCAGGNNNNNNNNNNGCAUUCCACGUUCCCUUGCCGGGUGUCCCUGGCCUUGGCGACAGGUAGCGACGUGCUCCUGGUCGCUCUGCGUCCUUGGGUAAGACGGUGGUGGUGCCGACUGCCCGUGCUCUUGCUCCACCAUUGGUGGUGCCUGAGCUAGUGGCUAUGGCGACAACCUGUAUGGGAGCACGUGAUGUAGGAACAAGGCAGCGCACAAAACAACUCGUAGCCAGGAAAAGGAUGCCCAAUUGGUCUAGCAUGCAGUGGAGUGUACAUGGGAGGUGCGUGGGAAGGUGCAAAAAAAUUGUCUUGAGUUGGCUGCCUCCAUCGUCGGCCUUGUUGGACCCAAAGCCGAGUGGCCAGGGGAAGCAAGGAGGACGGAAGAUAGGGAUGGUCCACCAUCCUAUGUUUGUACAUUAUCCAUGACAGUGGAUGGUUACGGGUAGAUUCGGUGUCUACAUGUGAAUAUACUAUCCGGGGUUCAUGACGUGGCUGUUGUGGAGUGAGGUGCCAUAACUAUCUUGCCUAGUUGGUGGGCACUCUGCUAUGUGGCUCUUGUGUUAGUCGAAUAUAUUGGAGUGGCAAUACUAGAUCUGGGUGUGUGUUUAGUGCAANNNNNNNNNNUGGAAGAUAGGGAUGGUCCACCACCCUAUGGUUGUACAUUAUCCAUGACAGUGGACACUUACGGGUAGAUUCGGUGUCUACAUGUGAAUCUACUAUUCGGGGUGCAUGACGUGGCUGUUGUGGAGUGAGGUGCCAUAACUAUCGUGCCUAGUUGGUGGGCACUCUGCUAUGUGGCUCUUGUGUGAGUUGAAUAUAUUGGAGUGGCAAUACUAGAUCUGGGUGUGUGUUUAGUGCAAUAUUCGCAUGUGUCGUGCUGUUGAUGAGGCUAUGUUGCUUGUGCGAUUUUCAGCCAAAUUUUCCUUGUAAAUUGGCUUGCUUUGUUUGGUCUUUGAUCCAUAUUCCCUUAUAAACUGGAUCAAUCUCUUUUUGAGGGAUAGAAACACCAAAAUUCUGAAGCUGAUGGUGGAUCAACAACACUGAACUUGGAGAGAUAGAAACCAUGUUGUGCUGUACUGUUGGCCUACGUUAAGAAAUUGGCCAACUAUAAAUCGGAAGGCANNNNNNNNNNCGAUCCAUAUUCCCUUAUAAACUGGAUCAAUCUCUUUUUGAGAGAUAGAAACAUCAAAAUUCUGAAGCUGAUGGUGGAUCAACAACACUGAGAUUGGAGAGAUAGAAACCAUGUUGUGCUCUACUGUUGGCCUACGUUAAGAAAUUGGCCAACUAUAAAUCGGAAGGCA